rnacentral:rRNA from 1 species
GAUGAACGCUGACAGAAUGCUUAACACAUGCAAGUCUUUGGCGAAGCUGUGCUUGCACAGCCUAGCCAAGGCGGACGGGUGAGUAACGCGUAAGGAACUUGCCCUGCAGUCAGGGAUAACAGACGGAAACGACUGAUAAGACCUGGUAAAGUCAGGCGGACUCAUGUCCAGCCUGAUGAAAAGAGAUGCUGCAGGAGAGCCUUGCGUCCUAUUAGCUUGUUGGUGGGGUAACGGCCCACCAAGGCGAUGAUAGGUAGCCGGCCUGAGAGGGUGGACGGCCACAAGGGGACUGAGAUACGGCCCUUACGCCUACGGGAGGCAGCAGUGGGGAAUAUUGGACAAUGGGGGCAACCCUGAUCCAGCAAUUCUGUGUGCACGAUGAAGGUUUUCGGAUUGUAAAGUGCUUUCAGCAGGGAAGAAAAAAAUGACGGUACCUGCAGAAGAAGCGACGGCUAAAUACGUG